ACAAUCCCAACCUUGCAAUACAUUUCUUGUUGUUAAUGGUGAAGAUUUUGUUCCCGCAUGGAGGAGAUUUCGCCCCCGGUUUCAUUUUAUUGAAACGAAAUCGCUAAAACAACUGUCAGCCCACAAGAAUGCAUGCAUCAAUCCAGACAACAAAGAUAUAGGUCACCCAGACAAGCGCCCAUAGCACGACGAGGUUAUGAAACAUGACCUAACAAGCUACGACCAGAUAAAGGCAACGACAAUGUAUCAAACAUAUCUCGUACAGUAGCAUAGCACUCGAAUCCUGCUGCAAGACAUAGCACCAUAGGAGCCCAUCCCCUGCUCACAUGGAAGGAGUACACAGCUACCUUAGCGAGCAGAGACGCCACGAUUCGAAGUAUCCAGUGCCCUUCGUCUCUCUGCAAAUACGACCAAUAUGACAACCAAUUAGCAGUUUGAUAGACAACCACACUAGGAUGAUGACGCGUUUAGAGCUAGCUGCAUUUCAUCCCCUGCGCAUGAAUUUAGC
rnacentral:lncRNA from 1 species